GAGUGCCCUGCUUCCAGAUGGAGCCCCACCAAGGUCGCGGUGGCCUUCCGAUUCCGCUUCUGCAAGGAUGCUGUGCUGGUGGGGGAAACCCUGCAGGGCAUCAGCCCACGCCCCACUCUUGCCUAAUCGCAGGGAGAAACUACUUGUGGGACUGUGGCCAGAAGCUGACUGCAGAGGUGAACAACCCUGGUGUGAUGUCCUCAGUGAGUGAAGAUAUUCCAUUCCAGAGGAGGUCUAACAUCUGGGAGGCCGCCAUCCAAAAGAAAGCCUCUCUGUUGGUGUAGGAAGUGACAGCUGCAUUCUCCUGUGCCUACUGCAUAACCAAAAAUGAAGGAGAACUACUAUUUACAAGCUGCCCUGGUAUGCCUGAGCAUGCUUUACCACAGCCAGGCGUUUGCCCUGGAGCAACGAAGCCACCUGCAUCCCUCUUUCCAUGGACACCAUGAGAAGGGCAAGGAGGGGCAGAUGCUGCAACUCUCCAAGAGAGGUUGGGUCUGGAACCAGUUCUUUGUGAUGGACGAGUACACUGGGCCCGACCCUGUGCUGGUGGGCAGGGUAAGGCUGCUUAUAUUUGAUGUUGAUGUGUCUAUAUGUGCUCAUUAUCAGUGCAGAAGGACAUGACCAGGUCAAACCAAAACAAACAAACAAAUGAACAAACAAACAAAAAAACAAGACAGAACAACAGUAGGUAAACUAAUGAGUAGGCGAAAGCAAGAUAAGUAAAACUAAAACAAUGAAACAGAAAAAGAGAACAAGAAUGAUCUACUGUCAUUAAAAAGAGAAUCAUAUUAUGUAUAUACGCAUCCAGUCUUUUCCUCCUCAUUCAUAGACCAGACCACACUGAGAAUGCUUCUAAUGUUCACUUAUUAUAGAUAAGGACUCCAUUUUGACUUUGGAUUGCUUUAGAGUCUAUUAAAAGAAAUACUGCCUUAAUUUAUUGAACCAUUCUUCAACUGGAGGAAUUUCUCAGACUAUAUUCUAACCCCAACUUGCCUGUUCCCACUUUUAUAUUCCCAUGUCUCACCAAUCCCUUUCAUCCUACUUUGCUGUUUUACAUGUCUGCCUCUGUCACUUCAUUUACUUUGUAUGAGGAAUUAGAUUAGCCUUGAAUCCUUAGGUCUUGGCACUAAUACCAACUCCAAUGAAAUGAGUGAAUAUGUGUCUUUAGGAUAGGAAUGGUAUUAUCCAUUUUGUCUUUAGGUAUGUUUUUGCUAUAUUUCCUCUUCUAAGGUUAUGCACUGCUUAUUCAACUCCAUUGGAAAUAUAAAUGUAGAGAGGGCAAAACACAUUUGGCAAACUGACUUCUUACUACUUAUUAUGAUAAAACAAGAGACAGUCUUUUAGGUAAUAUUGACACUAGUUCACAGGAGAUAGUUAUUUUAAUAUGUACAAAUUGAAGCUCUAUUAUGUGGAAGUGGUAGACAGACAGUAAAUCAGGUUGAAGCAAUACCUGACUCCAAACAAGCAAGAAAAAGAGGCAGCCACUUAUUCAUUUAAGGAAGAAGAUAAAAUAUAAUGAGGAGGGUAAUGAAAUUCAGUUUAUGUCCUUAACCCUUAUGAAAAAUAGAGGCAAGUAUCUAAUAACCCCUGACAUUCAAGUUAAACAGAACUGAUUCAAUAUAGAGAAAUGCAAGGACAGAUGAUAGAGAUUCCUAGUUUUGAACCCCAAGGAUGCCAACAAGUUAUCUCUGUCGUUGUUUUUAUAUGAAACAACAGUCCAUUUUUAAUAUCGUUUAUUUUUUAUGCUCAAAAAUGUUCAUGAUAAUCUCAACAUAACUUAGAAUUGGAAAUAAGUGUUUUUAGAAAUAAUGUUCUAAAUAAUUUCAUUCAUGUGAAAAAGAUGUAGACGUAGUCUUGAUAACAUGGAAGUAGGGGAAAAUAAUUGACCAGCAAAUCCUGUAACCAAAGAGCUGUGCUGUGUCCAUAGAAAGGAAGAGGAAAAAGACAGCCACAGUAAAGCGGGGCAACUUAGCUCAAGCAAUGUGUAGAGCUGGGUAUCAAAUUGCUCUGAGAAAAUGACCCUCUGCUUUGUCACUGUCUCAGUGGGGGACAGAGUGUGUUUAGGCUUGGUGGUGGCAGGGGUAGAGGUCUUAGUGAGUCAGAUGACUUUGUGUCUCUCUGGAUAUAACAGAUGUCAUAUGAUGCACUCGGGAGAAGACGAGGAAUAAAGAGAGGAAGGGAAAAUCUGGCAUCAUCCCAUGUAUGACCUUGAAAAGUAAGGUUUGUGAAAGGACUCUUAGUUGGAUGGUGUGUGUGUGUGUGUGUGUGUGUGUGUGUGUGUGUGUGUGUGUGUGUGUCCAUAUGUACCUGCUCAGAUCUGGCAAAAUCUUCCUUUUGAAAUGGAGCUAAGUAGGAGGAAUAGUUGGCUUGUUCACUAACAGUCUGAAUGGUGACAUUCAAGGGUGAAUGCUUGAAAAUUCCCUGAAAAGGUAGAAUUUGGCAAAGUACAGAAGACUUAGAGUUUGCAUGUAGGACGUUCAGCCUGUGUCAUGUUGUGCUGUGCAAAGCGAGAAGCAAUCAGUCUUUGGAGUCAGGAACUGGCUCCUUGAUAGCACUUGCUGUGUUCCCAAACUGCUUUCCUGUAGAACCUAAUAAAUAGUAUUGUCAGUACAGUAGAUCAUCUUUGUGACAGAGGAAAACUAGGGAAGACAUAUCCAACUUUUAAAUCUUGGAGGGAGGAGAAACAAAGUGGAAAUGGGAUAAGCCAGAUGCUUGGUAAAAAUUUCAGCUCCAUGGCUAGUUAUGAAAUGCCUCUUUUUUGUUUUAUUUGUUUUGUUUUUUGUUUGUUUGUUUGUUUGUUUGUUUUUUUGAGACAGGGUUUCUCUGUAUAGCCCUGCCUGUCCUGGACUCUGUAGACCAGGCUUGCCAGGAACUCAGAAAUCUGCCUGCCUCUAUGAAAUGCCUCUUUAUGUUUUCAUGUAUAAUGCAUGAAGUUCCUUAGAAACUUUCAGUACCUUGACAUUCAUAUUUAUAUCAUUUCUUUUUUUAUGAAAAAUUAGCAUUUAUUUCUAUUAAAUAUUUUCUCCAUUUACAUUUCAAAUGCUGUCCCGAAUGUCCCCUAUACCCUCCCCAUGCCCUGCUCCCCAACCCACCCACUCCUGCUUCCUGGCCGUGGCAUCUUGUGAGGCUAUGCCAGUGCCUGGCAAAUACAGAAGUGGGUGCUCGCAGUCAUCUAUUGGAUGGAACACAGGGCCCCAAUGAAGGAGCUAGAGAAAGUACCCAAAGGAGCUAAAAGGGUCUGCAACCCUAUAGGAGCAACAACAAUAUGAACUAACCAGUAACCCCCAGAUCUUGUGUCUCUAUUUGCAUAUGUAGCAGAGGAUGUCCUAGUAGGCCAUCAAUGGGAGGAGAGGGAGGAGAGGCCCUUGGUCUUGCAAAGAUUAUGUGCCCCAGUACAUUUCUUUUUUUUAAUGAUACAUUUAUUUAUUAUAUGUAAGUACACUGUAGCUGUCUACAGACACACCAGAAGAGGGCGUCAAAUCUCAUUAGAGGUAGCAGUAAACCACCAUGUGGUUGCUGGGAAUUGAACUCAGGACGUUCAGAAGAGCAGUCAGUGCUCUUACCCGCUAAGCCAUCUCGCCAGUCCCCGGGACUUAACCUCUAACAUUUGAUACCCAUGAAGCACAGAGAAAGAACAAACACCACAAUCCUAGGCUGGAUAGGAGAGGGGAACACAGGCCACUAAGGAAACUGUGAACAUUGUGGAUAUUCUAUUAGUUCACUGAAAACCAUCAAGUAACUUCACAUUUCCCUCCACGAAUGGCCAAACUCUUAAGAAUUACAUCAGUCAUAUUGCAUUAAAACGGUGGAUUAUAUUUUGUUACCUUUCAGAAGCAAAUGUUUUCCUACUGUCCCUGCCCGAGAAGCCCUAGGAUACACAACCAAAAUGGUUGUAGAUUAUGCCUGUGUAUCCAUGUCGGAGCUGAACUUUUUGGUGUUUCACCAAAACUCUACAAAUAAUUAAACAUAUUUAGGAAAUUUAAAUGAUGGAACCAUUUUAAAAAGUAGUAUAUUCAGUUUUUCUUUGUGAACCUCGAGCAAACUGUGUAGGCCUUGGUUUUAUAAUAAUGAUAGAAACUUUACUGACAGUAAUAAAAUGAUAAUUAUAAAUUAUUAGUCAUUAAUAUUAAAUAAAAAUUAGUUACAAUCUUUAUUG
rnacentral:lncRNA from 1 species